GACGUAGGGCGCGAGCGUUGUCCGGAUUUAUUGGGCGUAAAGAGCUCGUAGGCGGUUUGUCGCGUCUGCUGUGAAAUCCCGAGGCUCAACCUCGGGCUUGCAGUGGGUACGGGCAGACUAGAGUGCGGUAGGGGAGAUUGGAAUUCCUGGUGUAGCGGUGAAAUGCGCAGAUAUCAGGAGGAACACCGGUGGCGAAGGCGGGUCUCUGGGCCGAUACUGACGCUGAGGAGCGAAAGCGUGGGGAGCGAACAGG
rnacentral:rRNA from 1 species